GUGUCAGCAGCCGCGGUAAAACGUAGGAGGCGAGCGUUAUCCGGAUUCACUGGGCGUAAAGCGCGUGCAGGCGGUUCGGUAAGUUGGGCGUGAAAUCUCCCGGCUCAACUGGGAGAGGUCGUCCAAUACUACCGGACUUGAGAGCAGUAGAGGAAGAUGGAAUUCCCGGUGUAGUGGUGAAAUGCGUAGAUAUCGGGAGGAACACCAGUGGCGAAAGCGAUCUUCUGGACUGUUUCUGACGCUCAGACGCGAAAGCUAGGGUAGCAAACGGGAUUAGAUACCCGUGUAGUCC
rnacentral:rRNA from 1 species